rnacentral:rRNA from 1 species
CGUCAGCUCGUGUCGUGAGAUGUUGGGUUAAGUCCCGCAACGAGCGCAACCCUCGACCUUAGUUGCCAGCAUUCAGUUGGGCACUCUAAGGUGACUGCCGGCUAAAAGUCGGAGGAAGGUGGGGAUGACGUCAAAUCAUCAUGCCCCUUAUGACCUGGGCUACACACGUGCUACAAUGGGCGGUACAAAGGGUCGCGAACCCGCGAGGGGAGCCAAUCCCAAAAAGCCGCUCUCAGUUCGGAUUGCAGGCUGCAACUCGCCUGCAUGAAGCCGGAAUCGCUAGUAAUCGCGGAUCAGCAUGCCGCGGUGAAUACGUUCCCGGGCCUU